UACGAAGGGGGCUAGCGUUGUUCGGAAUUACUGGGCGUAAAGGGCGCGUAGGCGGCAGGCCAAGUCGGGAGUGAAAGCCCGGGGCUCAACCCCGGAAUGUCUUUCGAAACUGGCCAGCUGGAGUGCGGAAGAGGCAACUGGAAUUCCCAGUGUAGCGGUGAAAUGCGUAGAUAUUGGGAAGAACACCUGAGGCGAAGGCGGGUUGCUGGGCCGACACUGACGCUGAGGCGCGAAAGCCAGGGGAGCAAACGGG
rnacentral:rRNA from 1 species